CAAUACCACAAGACCUGUCCCAAAGGACGGGCAGUCUGUUCAGUGGUGGCAUCCUCAAGGAAUUAUAGGACUCGUUCUCUUCCUGCUCUGUGUGUUUUAUUCGAGGUAAGACAGGCUAUGAGUCCACUUUACAGGAAGUGCAUUUAUAUAGACUAAGGAAUCAUUAAAAAACUGUUUCUUUAUGAAUUUCUUCAUGCAGCAUCCGUACCUCCAACAACAGUCAGGUUAAUAAACUGACUCUAACAAGUGAUGAGUCAACAUUAAUAGAGGACGGGAAUGGCAGAAGUGACGGGUCACUAGACGAUGGUGAAGGCGUCCACCGAGCUGUAGAUAACGAAAGGGAUGGAGUCACUUACAGUUACUCCUUCUUUCACUUCAUGCUCUUCCUGGCUUCGCUUUACAUUAUGAUGACCCUUACCAACUGGUACAGGUAUGAGCCUUCUCGUGAGAUGAAGAGUCAAUGGACAGCAGUCUGGGUGAAAAUCUCUUCCAGUUGGAUUGGCAUUGUGCUGUAUGUUUGGACACUGGUGGCACCACUUGUUCUUACCAAUCGGGAUUUUGACUGAAUGGGGCGUCUGGCAUGAGUCCCACUUUGGUCAUUGUUUAUUUGACAGUAACAGUAUUCGCAAUUUUUGUACAGUUGUAUGUGCUGUUGUGUAACAGUUUUUUCUCUUGCAUGAAAUAGAUUUACUCUGCCAUUUUAUCCAUGUUCUUGCUAAGUGUACUGGUGAUAUAAAUUGCAAAGGGAGAAUUUUGAAUGUGGUGGCAAAUUAGCAAAGAUGGACGUUGAUAGGCAUAUCUCAUCUGCUCUGUACAUAUGGAAUUAAAAUUGUGUUAGAACUUAUGCUACUUUAGAAACAUUAAGUGUAUGGCUGCCUUUUGAAAUACUGGACGUGUUGUUGCCUUACAGAGGACUACAAAUACAAAGCAA
rnacentral:lncRNA from 1 species